AUCUUACCAAAUUCUGGAUGAGGAGUAAAGGAAGGACUUUUCUAUAAAUCUAUUUUAAAAUACAUUGUUUUAUUAGUUAUCUCUUUAGUGCAUUAAAUGUUGUUACUUUGAACACAUUUAACAAAUGUCUUUUACUGGGGUCCAAUCAGAUGGGAAAAGGUAAUAAUAAUUCAAAAAGUGUCAGGUAAGUUCAAACACAUUUUCAUCUUCAAACUGUAUUUUCAACUUGUGGCUGCUGGUUCAAAUAUAAAUUCUAACUAUUACCUUAAAAUAACAUUAAUGAAUAUAUAUGAUACAUAAUCAAUUGUUUUAUUUUUUAAAAAUCUUUUUUCCAGCCAACUAUACCCCCAUGAAAAAAAAUUAUAGGUCCUGAAGAAAAGAUGUGUUCUAAUUCAAAUGCAUUUGUGAUAAGUAAAUUUGUACAAAAAAAAAAAGUUACUUUUGUCAAAAUAGUUUUAGUUUAACUUCCCAAAUAAAAUAUGGAUAAACAUCUAUAUAUGAAGUAUUUGACUAUGAUCACACUUGGUGACAUAUAUAGUGAGACGAUCUGCACUAAGCUAAAUCGCAAUGUUGAUAUGUUUUUCUUCUCAAGUCACGUUUAAUCUCUGUGAAAAUGUUACUACAAUCGACAGGUGUGGAAAAUGGCUCGAAAAAAAAUGGUUCUCAUGGUGGUUGAAGCCGGUGCCUGGAAAUGUAAAACUGCGUCGUUUGGAGAUAUCUUUGUCACCCACCAUUUCCUUCCGUGUGUAAUGCAUCUCACAUUCACAGAACUUGUAUCGUUUUGGAAGGAGACUCAGGAAAGGAAGAUGGAAGUUAACAGGAAGUUUAUUGAAAACAGUGAGCGGUAUAGAAAAAAGCAGGUGAGAGGACUGAUGGAUGAUACGAUGGGUGACAAGACAGAUACAAUGGAGAAGGAACAAGGACAAAGCUGGGAGAUUGCCGGAUGAGACAAGAGAGAGUGUGAAACCAUCAGCUGUUUGCUAGGUAAAUAGUAAAGUCGUAGUGAAUGCCAUCAAUAAACAUAUAAUGAUUAUAUGGUAUGUACUGUAU
ensembl:lncRNA